rnacentral:lncRNA from 1 species
CAAAACAAAGGAUAGUCAUUAUCACCAUUAAUUUAUAAGACAAGCUUAUAGAAUUCUGAACCCCACAAGAAAACCCCAACGCAAUGACCCAUCUGACUCUGACUGGACACUAUUCAAUGCGCAAUCACUCACAUUCACAUUCACAUUCACAUUAACAAAUAAAAAUGAGUCUGCAUUGGACUGGAGCAUGUGUUUACCAAAAGUAUCUUUGACACUUUGACU